rnacentral:rRNA from 1 species
UACAGAGGGGGCAAGCGUUAUUCGGAAUUAUUGGGCGUAAAGGGCGCGUAGGCGGCCAUUCAAGUGACGGGUGAAAGCCCUCGGCUUAACCGAGGAACUGCCUGUCAGACUGGAUGGCUUGAGACCGGGAGAGGUGAGUGGAAUUCCCAGUGUAGCGGUGAAAUGCGUAGAUAUUGGGAGGAACACCAGUGGCGAAGGCGGCUCACUGGACCGGAACUGACGCUGAGGCGCGAAA